GGUUCUAGGGCUGAUGAGGUUGAUAAUUGGGGCAGUGCUAAAAAACCUCUUCCUGCUAGAUCUACUUUUGGUUCGGGUUUUCGAGAUUCAGGACCUGAGCCUGAUCGGUGGACAAGAGGAGGAUAUCGUGAGCCGGAGCGGGAGAGGCCUAGAUUGGUUUUAGAUCCUCCGAAAGCUGAUGUAGGUGCUAAUGAGUCGGUUAAAACAAAUAGGUCAAAUCCAUUCGGAGAAGCGAGGCCGAGAGAACAGGUGUUGGCAG
rnacentral:misc_RNA from 1 species